GGGGAGAAAGGAGAAGCCGGGCGAGGCUGCCGACCAACCACGCAGGGCCACCGGUAGCCCAGGCUGGGGAAGGUUGGUCGCGCUUUCCCAGAACCUCUGGAAUCUUCUGUCGGUCCUGUCGCCCCUCUGUUGUCAUCCCAUGCUUAGUGCAGAACUGGGAGAUUUUUUUCUUGCAUAUAAGAACUUUUUAUAGCAGACAGUGUCGUCAGGCUUGCGCCAUGAGGACACCUCCUCCCCUUUGUGGGAAUUUGUCAUUCUUUCUGAACAUUCCUGGAUUGGGCUGAUUUACUAUUUAGAAGUAAAUCUAAUCUUUUAAGUGAGAAUUCAGCAAACGAACUAACAGACAGGCCAGGAACUCUGACCAACCAAGCUCUUUCACGGUGUCUGUUUGCUGAUAGACAAUUGUUUACCUAGAAAUUUGAGAUUUCUUUUUAAAUGAUCUCCCAAACAGAAUGUUGGAAUAAUAUUAGUUGUGACGAACCUUGAAUUAGAACGUCAACCCCACUCCAGAGGAACAAAAACAAAAUCUUAAAGUAGCAGUUCUCAAACGCGUUUUGCAGGUCGCUAGCACGGCUCCCAGAAAUUAAUUCUAGAAAUCUAGGGUGGACCCCUGAGUCUACUAGUGCUGGCAGGCAACCACCCCGCUUGGGCCGCCUUGGUAAGCCAGGAACCGGACCUUAGGAAACCAAGAUUAGCUUGGCCUGAGGACUGUAAAUACUGUCUCAUGUCCUUUUCUUUCUGUUGACUUACUCCUCUCCUGUCCGUAAUCAGUCGGGAGUCAAGAAGCCCUGAUUCGGAAGGCUGUGUGAGAAAGGAUAGUGCUUUCUGGAGCCCUUACAUGAGAGCAGGAAAUGGCUUUUUAUCCAUAUCCUGUUAUUGCCUGGGUGGGAGAAAGAUGGCGUGGAUCAGGCUAACCCACCUUGUUUCUCUCAGGAGCCUGUUGGUAGGAUCGUGGGAGCUUGAGCAUGUCAUUAGGUCUUGGCUCCCACCUCAGCUCUCUGCUUUCCUUCUCAUGGUAUCAGCCAGGGAGUGCCCGGAGCCUGGGGGGUCUCUGAUUCCCUGGGAUGUGCCAGCAUCAGUAGUAUUUAUGGGCUUUUAGUUGUGGGUAUCAAUUCACUAGCUACAGAAUAUCUGAAUGAUGCCUAGCUUACACAGUACAACUGAAGUAAGGCAUGUUAGAGACAGUAUCCCAAGCGUGGCUCAGAAUUCCCUUGCUGUCUGGCAGAAAUGAGGGUUGGAUGACCUCCACAUCUGCCAAAGGUGUUUUCUACAUCUUGAUGUCUCUUGAGACUCCACAGGGAUAUUAAAGGUAGCCAUGAGGGUUUGGCGUUUUUCUUGGCUUUGGUGGCUUUGGAUGUCUGGCUACUUAUUGAUGGUUUUGUUGUUGUUGUAGAUGACGUACAAAAACAGUGUGCCUUUCUGUAAUGCUGAGUUUCCUGACUUGUUUUGUGUUUCCCACCUGCCACACAUGGGGUCUCCCCACACCUCCAUGGCUAAUUGGAGUGAGAAACUGAGGGAACUGUUUGGAUGAUGUUAAAUGAUUUAAGAUGGGAAAGUCGGAGUCCUUGAAAUGAGAAGCUUAGAGGAUAAGGGAGCACGUUGUAAGUUUACCUAGCUCAGUCCUCUCAUCUUUCAGGUAGUGACUGGGAGGUAGGCUGGGGAUGUAACUCAGUGGCAGGGCGCCUGCUCUGCAUGUGUGGGAGGUACUAGGUUUGUCCCUUAGUGUACGCCAUACUCUUUUCCCCUCUUCCCCACAUCCAAACACAAGAGUCUGAGAUGGUAGGAGGAGGAUUCCUGGUCUAGCCUGCUGCCCUUCCUGCUCUAUUACCUUUUAAAUGCUUCCGCAAGAAGGUGGUGCAGAGCGGAGAAAUAACAAGGCAGAGAAAACAGAGAGACUCUGAUAUGACCAUAGUGCCAGUGUCUCAUGGAAGUUGAAGGAACUGUGCGUUCUAACUGUAAACCACGGUGAUGAGAGUGCUGAGAUAAAUCAGAAGCUUGAACGGGUCGGGGAAGGAGAAGUAAGAGCGGGCAGAUGGCUGGCUUACAAAAACCUGAGAGGUUAGAAGCGCACUGGCUGUAAGAGAUUCACUUUAGAAAAGAUUAAUACUAACGGUUGGGUUGUAGAAGUUACCUGUAUGAGCAGUGUCCAGAACCUUUGACGCCGCUGUCUUGAGUAACUUGAGCUACUCUCGUGGUGACCAGGUUUAUUAGGAUCCUAGCUGGUUGGUUGGUUUUGGGGAGUUGUGGUAUUCUAUGCCUUUAUCAUAUGUAUGCUCUUCUCUUGAGAGGAGGUCAUCCCGUCCCUUGGAACAGGAGUUGCAGACCUCUGAGCUGCCAUGUGGGUGCUGGGAACAGAACCUGGGUCCUCUGCAAGAGCAGCCAGUGCUCUUAGGCAACAGAACCAUCUGAGCCACAAGUUGUGUAACCGUUAACACUUUUUUUCUUGAUUAGUUUCAGAGAGCAUUUAGAUUUUCUUCAUCUGUUUUUAAAAGCUAACUUCUUGUUUCAGUAUUGUUUUUUUUUUUUUUGGUUUUUUGAGACAGGGUUUCUCUGUAUAGCCCUGGCUGUCCUGGAACUCACUCUGUAGACCAGGCUGGCCUCAAACUCAGAAAUCCACCUGCCUCUGCCUCCCAAGUGCUGGGAUUAAAGGCGUGUGCCACUACAACCGGCUCUGAUUUUUUUUUUUAAAUGAAGUUGUUUAUUACAUUUCUUUUGUGGGGGGUGGCACAUGCACACUCUCGUCACAGUCUGCAUGCGGAGGUCAGAGGACAGCUUGCAGGUUAUUUCCUCCGUGGGUUCUGGUAUCAGGCUCAGGUUGUUAGCUUGGGCCUUUACCUGCUGAGCCCCCUGGAUUUCUCAGCUCUGAAUUUUGUUGUCUGUGGUGCCGGGGGUUGGGGCUGGGCUUUGGGCUGUUCCUGUUAAGUAAGCACUCGUCCAGCCCCCUCCGCCCCACCUGGUCUGGUUUUGUUUUCUCUUUUUGAGACAGGACCUCACUGUGUUCAAGGCUUGCCUGGGAUUUGAGAUCCUUCUGCUCGGAAGUGCUGGGGUUCUGGUGUGGGACCGCACUGGAUCGUUUUCUUUUUCUUCAGUUUCUACCCUUAUUUCUUUUCUUAUAUAGUCUUUAGCAUUGAGAAGGGUAUUUGUUGUCUUUCUUGGUUCUUUUCGAAUGGGAAAGCUAUAGAUUGUUCUCUGUUCUGUGGUUUAUCCUAAUGCAAGCUUGCCUGUGUUAUGUUUUGUCAUUCAGCUGAAAAUAUUUCCUACAUCCUGUUGUGAUUUCCUUAAAAAAAACCCCACAAAACCC
rnacentral:lncRNA from 1 species